rnacentral:rRNA from 1 species
UACGUAGGUGGCAAGCGUUGUCCGGAAUUACUGGGCGUAAAGCGCACGUAGGCGGGUUUGUAAGUAGGGGGUGAAAUCCCAGAGCUCAACUCUGGAACUGCCUUCUAAACUGCAAGCCUGGAGGUCAGGAGAGGCGAGUGGAAUACCGAGUGUAGAGGUGAAAUUCGUAGAUAUUCGGUGGAACACCAGUGGCGAAGGCGACUCGCUGGACUGAUACUGACGCUGAGGUGCGAAAGCGUGGGGAGCAAACAGG